UUAAAAAGAGGUUGGACCAAAAUAUUGUAUUUUUCCUCUGAAUUUCGGGUUCGUGACCAAAAUCUUUUUACAAUGGGUAAUAUGCAAGAAAACCCACAGCCAUCAUCGCCCAAUGCCGUUCCUAGUGCCGAUGCUUUGCAGAGCUUCAUGGAGAUUCAUAAAGCUCUUCUCAUUCGGAACUCUUACUCAUGUUUUCGACCACGUCGAUCUCUCGACAAGGCAUCGGAGGUCCAAGCGGAAGCCUCUGGUGACUGCCAUCACCGACCUCAAGCACUGCUCCAGGUUAUAGAGUAAGACGAGGUAGGAGGCGCGUGAGAUCUCCCUUCGCGCAUCUGAAAAUGGCCUCUUGGUCAAAUCUCUGCUACCUGUUGCUAAUUCUGUUCUUUUGCUUUUCAAAGAACGUUGGCAUCAUUCCUGUUCAUGUUUUUACAGAUUAUGUGGAGAAUUUCAUGUGGGGGAGUUUCCCCAUCGGAUUCGAAGCUGUGAGGAGGUCAAAAGUCAUAGUUGGGGGAGAGGAGGAAUUGAACAUAUGAGAUGAGAGAUAUCAAGGAGUUCUUCAACAAAAGGAGAUGUGUCUUGUUAAACAUCCA